GACGAACGCUGGCGGCGUGCUUAACACAUGCAAGUCGAACGGAAAGUCCCGGCCUUUGUGCGGUGCUCGAGUUGCGAACGGGGGACUAACACGUGAGUAACCUGUCACUGACUUUGGGAUAACUUCAUGAAACUGAGUCUCAUACCGGAUAGGAGCUCCUGCUUCUUGGUGGGGGUUGGUAAGUUUCGGUGGUUGGUGAUGGACUCGCGGCUUAUCGGCUUGGUGGGGGGGUAGUGUCUUACCAAGGCUUGGACGGGUAGCAGGCCUGAGAGGCGCACCGGCCACAUUGGGCCUGGGCUACGGCCCAGACUCGUACGGGAGGCAGCAGUGGAGAAUAUUACACAGUGGGCGGGAGCCAGAUGUAGCAACGCAGCGUGGGGUAUGACAGCCUUCCGGUUGUGUUCCGCUGUCGCCUGUGACGAAGCGUUAGUGACGGUAAUGGGUGAAGAAGCACCGGCUAACUACGUG
rnacentral:rRNA from 1 species